UAGAACAAUGGAUGACUUUAUUCGCUGAUACUUAACCAUUUACAUAGUCCAGGAAGUAGCUCAUCAGUGUUUAUCUAGUAUGCACCGGUUUUUGUUUUUUUUUCUUUGUCCCACCCCCAGCCAAGACAAGGUUUCAGUUUCUCUGUUUAACAGCCCUGGCUGUCCUGGAACUCAGUUUGUGGACUAGGCUGACCUUAAACUCAGAGAUCGUUCUAGCUCUGCUGGGCUUUAAAGGCAUACGCCACCACUGCCCAGCAUGUGCGCUGGUUUCUAUUACUAAGACACCCGGGGUAGUGGCACAUGUCUGCAAUCUGUGCACAACAUGGAAAGUAGAGGUUAACUCCACUGUAUAUCAAAAUACCUGGAACCCCCUCCCAUUACGCAAACUGAUUCUCUUUGUUGGACAAUAUAUAUUGUUUCAACAUAUAUUCAACAAAAUAAGGAGACUCACAAAAGAAAAUCCUAUGUUCCCAUUAGUAACUAUGUUUCUAUUUCAAUGUUACAUAAUAAAAACAUUUAAAAUCCUUUCACUAGCUUUUUAACCCAAUCAUACAAAAUUUCAGAACUCCCCCCCUCCAGCCAAAUAUCCACUACUCCGGAGAUCUUUUUCCAGUCUUCACAACAGUUUUGAGACUUUUAGCCCAGAAUAGCCUUCAACUUACACAAAAGUCUCAGCCUUGAACUAUAC
rnacentral:lncRNA from 1 species